CAUGCCGCGUGUGUGAAGAAGGCCUUCGGGUUGUAAAGCACUUUAAUCAGGGAAGAAAAGCACCGGGUUAAUAACCCGAUGUCUUGACGGUACCUGAAGAAUAAGCACCGGCUAAUUCCGUGCCAGCACCGGCGGUGACUGAGCGGGCUGGCAAGGCGCAUA
rnacentral:rRNA from 1 species